ACGGAAGCUCGACGAGGCCAAGGCCACAUCGGAAGAGAAGAUGUGAUCUCCCGACUCAGGCUUCCCAGCGCGGAUCCCCGGAACCCACGCGGAGCACAUGCCGCGGAAUAGGCAGAAGCGUUGUGGGCCUGCGGAAUUGCGAGAAGCGAAUGACGUCGACGACCCCUUGGGUGGGGUUGCAGUCGUAGCGCACCGGAAGAACGCCGAGGCCACCCACACAACCGACCUGAGCACGCAUGGUAACCGGAGUCCGUGCUAGCGGGCGGCGAGCCGAAUCAGACGAGAGUCUGACCUCGGAACGUCGCCCGCUUCAUUUG
rnacentral:ncRNA from 1 species